rnacentral:rRNA from 1 species
GAGUUUGAUCUUGGCUCAGAUUGAACGCUGGCGGCAUGCCUUACACAUGCAAGUCGAACGGCAGCACGGGAGCAAUCCUGGUGGCGAGUGGCGAACGGGUGAGUAAUACAUCGGAACGUGCCCAAUCGUGGGGGAUAACGCAGCGAAAGCUGUGCUAAUACCGCAUACGAUCUACGGAUGAAAGCAGGGGACCGCAAGGCCUUGCGCGAAUGGAGCGGCCGAUGGCAGAUUAGGUAGUUGGUGGGGUAAAGGCUCACCAAGCCAACGAUCUGUAGCUGGUCUGAGAGGACGGCCAGCCACACUGGGACUGAGACACGGCCCAGACUCCUACGGGAGGCAGCAGUGGGGAAUUUUGGACAAUGGGCGCAAGCCUGAUCCAGCCAUGCCGCGUGCAGGAUGAAGGCC